rnacentral:rRNA from 1 species
CCUACGGGCGGCUGCAGUGGGGAAUAUUGGACAAUGGGCGAAAGCCUGAUCCAGCCAUGCCGAGUGUGUGAAGAAGGCCUUCGGGUUGUAAAGCACUUUCAGUGGGGAAGAAAGCCUUGGGGCUAAUACCCUCGAGGAAGGACAUCACCCACAGAAGAAGCACCGGCUAACUCCGUGCCAGCAGCCGCGGUAAUACGGAGGGUGCGAGCGUUAAUCGGAAUUACUGGGCGUAAAGCGCGCGUAGGCGGUCUGAUAAGCCGGUUGUGAAAGCCCCGGGCUCAACCUGGGAACGGCAUCCGGAACUGUCAGGCUAGAGUGCAGGAGAGGAAGGUAGAAUUCCCGGUGUAGCGGUGAAAUGCGUAGAGAUCGGGAGGAAUACCAGUGGCGAAGGCGGCCUUCUGGACUGACACUGACGCUGAGGUGCGAAAGCGUGGGUAGCAAACAGGAUUAGAUACCCCGGUAGUC